rnacentral:rRNA from 1 species
AAGCGAGAAAGUUAAAAGAAUUGACGGAAGGGCACCACCAGGCGUGGAGCUUGCGGCUUAAUUUGACUCAACACGGGAAAACUCACUAGUUUAAGACAAGAGUAGGAUUGACAGAUUAAUAGCUCUUUCUUGAUUUCUUGGAUGGUGAUGCAUGGCCGUUUUUAGUUCGUGAAUAUGAUUUGUCUGGUUAAUUCCGAUAACGAACGAGAUCUUAACCUGCUAAUUAGCGGUAAAUACGACAUAUUCAUGUACAAAACUUCUUAGAGGGACAUUGUGUGUCUAACACAAGGAAGUUUAAGGCAACAACAGGUCUGUGAUGUCCUUAGAUGAACUAGGCUGCACGCGUGCUACACUGAUAUAUAUAACGAGUUACUACCUCCACUGAAAAGUGUAGGUAAUCUUUAUCAAUAUAUAUCGUGAUGGGGAUAGAUUAUUGCAAUUAUUAAUCUUGAACGAGGAAUGCCUAGUAAGCAUGAUUCAUCAGAUUGUGCUGACUACGUCCCUGCCCUUUGUACACACCGCCCGUCGCUCCUAGCCGAUUGAAAGAUAUGAUGAAUUGUUUGGACAAGAAAAAAUAAAUUUAUAUUGUGUUUUUUUUUGGAAAAACCGUAAAUCCUAUCUUUUAAAGGAAGGAGAAGUCGUAACAAGGUUUCCGUAGGUGAACCUGCGGAAGGAUC